UGUGGGAGCUGGCUUGCCAGCGAUAGCGGUGUGUCAGAGAAGGAUUUAUUAGCUGACCCACUGCAAUCGCUGGCAAGCCAGCUCCCACA
rnacentral:misc_RNA from 1 species